rnacentral:lncRNA from 1 species
ACCCCAAAGAUUAGUGGGUGUAGGCUUCGGUGGCCUAAGAGAUUAUGUGCUCAUUACCUAUCAUGCUCUAUAGGUAACCAUAUCAACAAAAAAAACUACUAGACAAUCUAAUCUGAGCUUGACUUCCCAGGAGACAGGAGACACUGAGGCCAGCUGGCUUAUAGAUUCUCGAUCAAGUUUGUAGCUUUGCUUUAAACAUCCAAUCUUCACUAGUACUUCUAGUGAUUUCCUUCGAGCUUCCUGUAAGAAAAACAGGUGAUGAAGAGAAGUAAACAUGGAACUAAUAAACUGGAAAACAAAAAACAAAUCAAGAUAGGCCGUCUAAACCCAAAGAGAGGGAGUAUGUGUUUGCAUAUCCUGAAAAUCUCUAGUUUUAUGUAGUACAGGUACUCCCUCCAUCCAAAUACAUAGGGCCUAAUACGUUUCUCAAGGUUACCUUUGACCAUCGGUUAGAGCAAUAAUAUAUGAAAGGCAUGUUACAAAAAGUAUAUAGUAAAUUCGUAUGUGAAAGGAGUUUCUGUUGAAACGAUUUUAUUUAUCAAUGGUCAAAGGCAGCCUUGAAAAACAUGUUAAGCCCCAUAUAUUUGGAAGUAGGGAGUACAUGUUAUCUAGUUGAUGAAAUGAUCAUGCCAUGUAGCAGAUAUAUACUAACCAUUUCAAUAUCUAUGAAAUUUAUUGUGGCGUUCUCAUACAACGAUUCUGUCUUCAUUAAUAGACGUCCCUAUAUAUAUGUAUCCAACUAGCUAUGGCUAGAACCCAUGCACACCACGCAGUUAUCCAAAGAUGAUCUUCCUCGCCAGUAGCUCACCCUGUGAUGCAAAGCUACACCCAUUUGUAUACAACCUCACCUCCUCUUACACAGACCAAAGAAAUGAGGUCACCAUGGUGUUCACCUCGGCUGUCAUGUUCAUCCUUGCCACCCUCUUCUUUACGCUCAAUCUCUUCAGCCGCUUGUCCGUCCUGAGCGCCAUCCUCAACCCCAGCGUUCGUCUGUUCCUCUCCACCUCAUUGUCCCUCUUCCUGCCGGUCAUGUCCUACCUCUUCUCCGAGGCCAAGAACGAAGGUUCUGCUUUGGCUGCUAUAAGUCCCAAUAGCUCCAGCUACAGCCAGCUCGGUACCGAGCUGUCGCUACGGGCUCGGACAAUCCUCAUGUGGAUGCUUCUCGUGGAGCUCCUCCGAAAGAAAGUGGAGGCCAUCUUGGUCAACGCGGGCGUGCAAUGGCACUCCGGCACCAUUGAUCGCGCUUCCCGCAUUGCUUGGCUGGGCUACCUCGUUUUCUACAACCUCAGCAGCACCGGCAAGAAAGCAAUCUAUGGCACCUUAUGGGUCCUCGCUGCUGCCAAGUUGCUGCAGAGGGUCUCCAUCAAUGAGCUGCUCAAGCGUUCUUUCGCCUAUGGCAAGAACGCUGAGCUGCUCAGCUCGUACAUGGCCCAGAUGCUACAAGAGAAAGAUCAGCAAGCCGGCAACGGCAAUGCCCAGGAUGAAGGAGCAGAGUUGUUGAAGAAGUGCAAGUACGCCGUGAUGGGAGAAGAGGAGUUGGAGAUGAAGCCUGGCCCGGAGGGCUACCGUCUUGAGCUGAAGAAGCCCAGUACUGUUGACACGGACACUAACACCGACUCCACCAUCCUCACCGUUGGUGAUAUUUGGAGGCUCGCAGAGAAGGACAAGGACGGAGUCCUCCAAGAAGACCCAAGUCUUAAAAGGCUAUGCCUCUCGUUCGCCCUCUAUAAGCUGCUGCGCCGGAGGUUCGAGGACCUCCCCAUCACCCAAGAGGAAACCUCCAAUUGCCACAGUCUCAUCUUUAGAGGCCUUCGCGAAGAGCUGCUGCAAGGCACCGAGGUUGUAUUGUCAACCCAAAGGUUCGACGAGGAGCGUAAGGAGGAACUGAAAGGCAUGGUGGUCGCAGUUGCAGUGUUCGAAGUGUUCGACGAGGAGAUCCAAUUCCUCUGCGAAUACUACCACUCUGUUGUGCCCGUUGUGCUCUCCAACCCCUUCUUCUUCCUUGCAAACUACAUCCUGUUUCCCAUCGUAGUAUGGGCCUUCUGCCUCCUGACGUUCAUCCUCUGCGGCAAUGGGGACGUGCGCUAUGCGUACCAUAGCAUCAUCACCGACAACUACCUCAUAUCGAUCGGCAUGAUGAAAAUAGUCGGAUGCCUCCUAGGAAGAAUUAUCCAGUCACCGGAGGCGCUCUUCACAACCGUCGAUCUGGCCAUCACUAUGCUGCUCUUGCUCACCUUCCUCUACGAGGAAGUAUGGGAGUUCCUCGUCUUCAUCCUCUCCAACUGGCUCAUGGUGUCACUUGUCUGUGAGUAUACCACCAAGAGCCGCUGGCGUGACAGCCGCAUCUUAAGCGGCCUCAUCCGUCGUAUCCUAUGGGUACGGAGUAAGAUAAGCCAUCGCAACCUUUGCUUUAACCAAUUCUCCAUGAUUGGGUUCGGCGGCCUAUCACCCAUGAUGCUGCCUAAGAAGGCAGUGCCCAUGGAAGUGAAGAAGUCCAUCAUGAAAUACCUUGUGGCUCAAAUCAAUGAUGGCCACGCCCAUGCUGCGCCUCUCAGCAACGGCUGGUCCACGCUGCAGUCGGAGAAGCACAGACAAAGCCAGUAUAGAUCGCAGCUCUCAUUGGCAUGCGAGAGCAAGAGCGUCGCCGAGGUUAUCCUCAUCUGGCACAUUGCUACCAGCCUUUUGGGCAGGAAAUGCCCGCUGCAGAAUAAGACCUCGAUGGGAGCUCAUCGCCAGGUGGCAGUCACGCUAUCCGGGUACUGCACUUACUUGGUGGCCUCAUAUCCGGAGCUGCUUCCAGACAAUAAGGACGGGACGACCCACGUGUACAAGGAGAUGCAAGAGCAGUUGAAGAAUGCGCUGGGAGGGUGUUGGAGGUACCACCUGUCUUUGCCAGGCACCAGGUAUGACAAGCUGGUUGAGAUCUCAAAAGAGCAGGAGGAGACAACGAUGGUGCAGAGGGGAGCAAAGUUGGGGGAUUUGCUUCUGGAGAUGGCACAGAAGCAGGAGGAUGUGUGGGAGCUACUGGCUGACCUUUGGACGGAGCUCAUGGUGUAUGUGGCUCCAUCUGGUGGAGAGCUGCACGUGAAGGCACACAAGGAAGCGCUGGCACAAGGGGGUGAGUUCAUCACCGUGCUCUGGGCGCUGUGCACGCAUACCGGCAUAACCAGGCCAGCCAUUGCACCUUGGGAGGCACAGCGCCAUCAUGCGCUUGAACCAUAGAGCUUUGCUGUCCGUUCCCCGCACACCCCUUUUCAAGGGGAGCAGUUAUCCUGUGUUGUGUUUGUUGUGCUUCAUGCCGUCAUGAGCGUGCAUGAUCGGGCUUGCUUGUUUCCAUUACAUUGUUUUCUUGUGAAUAAUCAUUCUGCAUGGUGUGCUGUUUGGAUUUGCUGCUGCCUUUCCAUCAGCAUGCAUUUUGGUGGUGGCUUCUUUUCAGAUUUAGAAGCACGGCUGAAUGUAAGUGGCAUGCUUUGGUUGUACAGUCAGCAAUUGGAUCUUCCGUAAAUUUCUUGGUACUUCAGUCUCUUUGAUUGGAAAAGUCUAGCCUAUAUGCAAGGCAACACCAAACAGAAGUGCAGUCUUGUACUAUAGACAUAUAUGAAAUAAUAUGUAUCCAAAAAAAGCAGAUACAGCAUGCAUGCAAAUCUUGUGCUUUAUUCGAUAUCUCUCAGGUGACCCAAGCCACAUUUUUUCCCCUAAUUUCUUAUGGGAAUAUAUGAUGCUUUUCAAAGUAUAUAGGUACAUGUUUUCUAACAGGGUAUUGAGUACUCCAUUAAUAUUUGGAAGCAAUUUCACAUACAGUAACAGGAACUCAACAAAGGAAAUGAGAACUAUACCUGAUGUAUCCCUGGAUUGGAACAAAAAUGAUCCUCUGCAUAACCUGAAACGAUGAUAAAAUGUACAAGAAUUCAAAUCACAGAAAUAGACACUUACAAGCCGUUAGCAAGCAGCUGUGAUCGCUCAUAAGAUUAGCCAAAUCUCGAAGAACAGCUACAUUAUGAGAAGUACAAUGCCAUUUUAAUCUGGAUAUCCCAAAUUGAACCACAUUUUGACAGGUCUAAAAAUUGACCCAUCUGGUCAGUUUGGCUCUCAACUUCUCAAGUGUAGUUCAAUACACAAUAUUCAGUUCAAAAUAUUGCUCAAACUAUCAAAAUUUCAAAUACAUCAUCGAAAAUGGAAUUUACUUUUUCUUCAAAUGGAAGCAGAGCAAUUUGACAAAUACACAAAUGGUCCACAGCAAACUAAAUAUAAGAAAAUAAUAAAUCACGGAAUCACUUUACACUGUUCACCCGUGUCUGUUGGCUGAAAAUAACGGUUGCCAUCGCAGCUUGCUUCCUCUGUAGCAAAAUACCGUUGCCUCCUUCAGG